GACGAACGCUGGCGGCGUGCUUAACACAUGCAAGUCGAACGGAAAGGCCCUGCUUGCAGGGUACUCGAGUGGCGAACGGGUGAGUAACACGUGGGUGAUCUGCCCUGCACUUCGGGAUAAGCCUGGGAAACUGGGUCUAAUACCGGAUAGGAGCCAUUUUUAGUGUGAUGGUUGGAAAGUUUUUUCGGUGUAGGAUGAGCUCGCGGCCUAUCAGCUUGUUGGUGGGGUAAUGGCCUACCAAGGCGGCGAUGGGUAGCCGGCCUGAGAGGGUGGACGGCCACAUUGGGACUGAGAUACGGCCCAGACUCCUACGGGAGGCAGCAGGGGGGAAUAUUGCACAAUGGGCGCAAGCCUGAUGCAGCGACGCCGCGUGGGGGAUGACGGCCUUCGGGUUGUAAACUCCUUUCGCUAGGGACGAAGCUUUUUGUGACGGUACCUAGAUAAGAAGCACCGGCUAACUACGUG
rnacentral:rRNA from 1 species